rnacentral:lncRNA from 1 species
UGGAAAAUUGCUCUUUCAUAACAAGAUUCAGAAAAGCGGCAUUGAUUUCGUAUGAUUCCGCACUAGUGGCGGGAGCAAUCGGAGUACUAAUAAAAUCAUUAUUAUUAGUAUUCGAGAAGUCACAAAGUUUGGUGUUUUCAGUCAUGGUGACUUGAGCAAGCAAGCAAGCACACAAGCGAACGAAGAGCAAGCGAGAGAAAAGGGCGAACGAAAAAGGCAAACGAGAAAAGGA